GAUGAGAUUGGCGCUGAUGGUUCCCGAUCGUUUUGGCGGUCGGGUAAAAGGGAAUACGGUGCGGCGCCGUUCUGACGCCAAUUCCGUGACUGCCCCCGCAACUGUAGGCGGUGUGCGACCCCCGGAUGCCACUGGGCCGAUAGGUCUGGGAAGGCGGGGCAAGCCAUACACCGCGAGUCAGGAGACCUGCCAUCAUCAAACGCAACUCA
rnacentral:ncRNA from 1 species